rnacentral:rRNA from 1 species
AAAAACCUAGGAGGUAGCCCUUAACCUUGCAAGUCCGAGCAAGGUAAUCUCGUAAGCCUUGGUAUCCCGGGGUUAGCGGCGGACGGGUGAGUAACACGUGGGUAACCUGCCCAUAAGACUGGGAUAACUCCGGGAAACCGGGGCUAAUACCGGAUAACAUUUUGAACUGCAUGGUUCGAAAUUGAAAGGCGGCUUCGGCUGUCACUUAUGGAUGGACCCGCGUCGCAUUAGCUAGUUGGUGAGGUAACGGCUCACCAAGGCAACGAUGCGUAGCCGACCUGAAAGGGUGAUCGGCCACACUGGGACUGAAACACGGCCCAAACUACUCCGGGAGGAAGCAGUAUGGAAUCUUCCCCCAUGGACGAAAGUCUGACCGAACAACGCCGCGUCCCUGAUGAAGGCCUUCGGGUCGUAAAGCUCUGUUGUUAGGGAAGAACAAGUACCAGAAUAGGUCGGCACCUUGACGGUACCUAACCAGAAAGCCACGGCUAACUACGUGCCAGCAGCCGCGGUAAUACGUAGGUGGCAAGCGUUGUCCGGAAUUAUUGGGCGUAAAGCGCGCGCAGGUGGUUUCUUAAGUUUGAUGUGAAAGCCCGCGGCUCAACCGUGGAGGGUCAUUGGAAACUGGGAGACUUGAGUGCAGAAGAGGAAAGUGGAAUUCCAUGUGUAGCGGUGAAAUGCGUAGAGAUAUGGAGGAACACCAGUGGCGAAGGCGACUUUCUGGUCUGUAACUGACACUGAGGCGCGAAAGCGUGGGGAGCAAACAGGAUUAGAUACCCUGGUAGUCCACGCCGUAAACGAUGAGUGCUAAGUGUUAGAGGGUUUCCGCCCUUUAGUGCUGAAGUUAACGCAUUAAGCACUCCGCCUGGGGAGUACGGCCGCAAGGCUGAAACUCAAA